CUCCGCGGCCAAUCACGUACUUAUCACUGAGAUUCUCUGUAAGCCGCAUCAUCUCAUCGUGAGAUUGGGGAGCCAUGCCCAGGUUUAGGAUCACGAAUCUCGGUGGACCUGCUCACAACACCAUUCAAUCGAUAUUCAUAGAUGCUCUAGUACCGUUAGUGGCUAAAGAAAUUUGAUAUUUCGUGAAAUUCUGAGGAAACAAAAAAAAGUAUAUUUCACGAAGGACUAAAAUUUGUCACUGGAAACGAUACGAACCUGGAGGCUGCGACGCAAUGUUCGUGCUCUUCAAAGGAACAAGCCCACAAGAGGCACUGAUGUUGGUGCAAAGCAGGGGGUUUCCUGCGUAGCUGCCAACAAACAAGCAACCACUCAAAAGCUAUUUGGCAAGUGUGAGGACGAGCAGCUGGAAGAGGGCAGAAGGUAGCUUCAUCACCAUUACUCGCGGGUCUGUUUCAGAAGUGGAGGGAAUAUGAAUAUUUCACCUACUCGCCGGAAACCUUGAGAAGAGCUCAUCUGGAGGAAUGUUUCCCGAGAGAUGAUUGUAGGACAAAUUCCUGCACAAUUUCAUUGAGAUGUGAGUUAACAGAAGAGUUCAUAAAAUCAGUUUAGAAUCUUGAUAGAGGCAGUUCAAAGCUACGCUCAUUGCUGAACCUGGACACUUAAAAUCGUUCCCUGAAACUCUUCCACCCAUUCACUCCACACAAGCGUACACUUUCAAAUUACCCAAUGAAGAUUUCGUAGCUUACAAGUGUUUCAAACCGAAACAUUCUUUUAGUGGUACUGGUAUGGAGCCUGAGAGAUUAUUGUAGCUCAAGUCCCUGAAGAAUAUAAGAAUCCAUAGAACAAUGUUUAGUAUACACACAGGAGUGUGAUGGGACGAACUGUCAGCGUUGGAAGUGGAGGAGGGUGACGUUGAGAAGAAUACUCACAGGUGUAACAGCUCUAAGAGUUGUCCAAGUUCGAGGGGAAUGGGCCCUUGAAUGUGGUUAUGCGACAAGUCACUGCAACCAAAACAAAAAUUGGCAUUUAUUAUCGGGAGAAUUCACAUCAAACGAAGAGAAGUCACAGAUGAUUAGGCCCAAUCUGCAUUAUGAACCUCCUUUCGGUCUAACUCGCACGUAGGAUAAGUGACUCACAGAAAGUUGAGGCUCUUCAAGUUGCCGAACGCCAUUGGAAUAGACCCAUUCAAGUUGUUUUCAUGUAGAUCUCUGUAUUAGCAAACUCAGCGUGUGAGUGUUAAGAAGCCAAUAAAUUUCUAUCUGUUUGAAAGUA